UACGUAGGGGGCAAGCGUUGUCCGGAAUCAUUGGGCGUAAAGCGCGUGUAGGCGGCUCGGAAAGUCUGGUGUGAAAUCUCCGUGCUCAACACGGAGCGGCCACCUGAUACUGCUGUGACUCGAGUCCGGUAGGGGAGUGUGGAAUUCCCGGUGUAGCGGUGAAAUGCGCAGAUAUCGGGAGGAACACCAGUAGCGAAGGCGGCACUCUGGGCCGUGACUGACGCUGAGGAGCGAAAGCGUGGGUAGCAAACAGG
rnacentral:rRNA from 1 species